AGUGAACGCUGGCGGUAGGCCUAACACAUGCAAGUCGAACGGCAGCACAGUAAGAGCUUGCUCUUACGGGUGGCGAGUGGCGGACGGGUGAGGAAUACAUCGGAAUCUACUUUUUCGUGGGGGAUAACGUAGGGAAACUUACGCUAAUACCGCAUACGACCUACGGGUGAAAGCAGGGGAUCUUCGGACCUUGCGCGAUUGAAUGAGCCGAUGUCGGAUUAGCUAGUUGGCGGGGUAAAGGCCCACCAAGGCGACGAUCCGUAGCUGGUCUGAGAGGAUGAUCAGCCACACUGGAACUGAGACAAGGUCCAGACUCCUAAGGGAGGCAGCAGUGGGGAAUAUUGGACAAUGGGCGCAAGCCUGAUCCAGCCAUACCGCGUGGGUGAAGAAGGCCUUCGGGUUGUAAAGCCCUUUUGUUGGGAAAGAAAAGCAGCAGGUUAAUACCCCGCUGUUCUGACGGUACCCAAAGAAUAAGCACCGGCUAACUUCGUG
rnacentral:rRNA from 1 species